rnacentral:misc_RNA from 1 species
AUAAUUUUCUUCCAAAGUCUGAGCCUUCUGGGUUAUUGUCUUUUCCCUCUGGACAUUGGAGCCGUAAUCUGUAUGUUGAAGGACAAUGUGAUAAUAAAAGUGGCUGUAGUGUGUGUGACAUUGGCUUUUUGGUCACCUAUCCAUUCAUGAGCUCUGCCGUCAACCCAAGAAGAAAGGCUCUUGCUCUUUACCCUGUUUUUCUUAUGUACGUAUCUGUUGGUUUCCUCAUCAUUGCCAUUGAUUAAUACAACUAACCCUAUUGUGAAAUUUUCAUAAAGAAUAGAAACUCAUACAGUACAUAGGAAUUUUAUGCGGUGACUAUUUUCUUCUUGUGUAACUGUAUAUUUUCUUAAUUUUUAUUUUUAUUUUU